CUACGUGCCAGCAGCCGCGGUAAUACGUAGGGCGCGAGCGUUGUCCGGAAUUAUUGGGCGUAAAGAGCUUGUAGGCGGUUUGUCGCGUCUGCUGUGAAAGGCCGGGGCUUAACCUCGUGUAUUGCAGUGGGUACGGGCAGACUAGAGUGCAGUAGGGGAGACUGGAACUCCUGGUGUAGCGGUGGAAUGCGCAGAUAUCAGGAAGAACACCGAUGGCGAAGGCAGGUCUCUGGGCUGUAACUGACGCUGAGAAGCGAAAGCAUGGGGAGCGAACAGGAUUAGAUACCCUGGUAGUCCAUGCCGUAAACGUUGGGCACUAGGUGUGGGGGACAUUCCACGUUUUCCGCGCCGUAGCUAACGCAUUAAGUGCCCCGCCUGGGGAGUACGGCCGCAAGGCUAAAACUCAAAGAAAUUGACGGGGGCCCGCACAAGCGGCGGAGCAUGCGGAUUAAUUCGAUGCAACGCGAAGAACCUUACCAAGGCUUGACAU
rnacentral:rRNA from 1 species